GACGAACGCUGGCGGCGUGCUUAACACAUGCAAGUCGAACGGAAAGGCCCUGCUUUUGUGGGGUGCUUGAGUGGCGAACGGGUGAGUAACACGUGAGUAAACUGCCCUUGUCUUUGGGGUAACUUCAGGAAACUGGGGCUAAUACCGCAUAGGAGCUCCUGAUGCGUGGGGGGGGUUGGAAAGAGUCGGCGGUGGGGGCUGGACUCGCAGGUUAUCCGCUUGUUGGGGGAGUAGUGGCUUACCAAGGCUGUGACGGGUAGCCCGCCUGAGAGCGUGACCGGGCACCUGGCGCCUGAGAUACGGCGCAGACUCCUACCGGCGGCAGCAGUCGGGAGUCUUGCACAAUGGGCGGACGCCUGAUGCAGAGGCCCCGCGUGCGUGAUGCCGGGUUACUGGUGGUAAACCUAUUUCGAAGGUGCCGAGGCGUGAUUGACGGUAAUGGGUCAAGAAGCCCCGGCUAACUACGUG
rnacentral:rRNA from 1 species